ensembl:lncRNA
AUCAAAACUGUCUAGAAGGGGGAGGGUGUAGCCCAGUGGUAAACUUGGGUAUAUAGUGUAAUUGGAACAGGGUGGGUUAUGAUUAAUCUCUCUUACUCUCAAAAACGAGUCAUAUGACUAUUAAAAAAGUAAACGUUUAUUUACUUUAAAUAAAUAAUAGGGGACAUCUGACUUCUAAAUAAGGAAAUAUCAGUUCAUUUUACAUAAUUAAAAGGAAAUAAAUAUUUGGUAAUUUUAUUUCAUGACAGUAAUUAAAACUGAAGUUUAAAGUUUAUAUUAUUCAGCUGAAUAAUAUUUCCAAAGGUUUUAUGCAGUUAGCCUUUUAUUAUUUUAUUUUUACUGUUUUUAUGUUACUAUUUUUAUUGGUCAUUUGGGUAUUCAUGCUGUAUAGUCAAUAGUGUUUGGCUGCAGGUAUGAAAAAAAGACGUAGAUACACGUGACCUGGUGAGAGACGUGAGAAAGUGCUGGAAGUUUUUUUCUCUUCGUGCUGGACUGGGGUGGAGCGCGGAACGCUGGCACGUUGAGAAGAAAAAAGAACGCUAGAAAGUGCGAGCAAAGCCGAUUAAACGGAGCGGAAAGCUCAGAGAAGAGGACCACGGACUCGGGAUGUUUGUGAGCCGCGAGACUGAGUGAGAAACGAAGCCGGAGACCCGUCUGACGGAGCGGGAGAGAAGGAGCGGAAGCCGUGAACGGAGGUAGCCGAGAUAGUUAGCCACGGUGGGCGUAUGCUGGGCGGAACUGUCGUUUAAUCGCACCGCACCUGAUCAUCCGGACCAAAGUCUUUCCGCGCUCUCAAUUUUUUGCAAGUGUCCGUUCAGCGCACUCAAUGUCCGUUCAGCGCACUCAAUGUUUUGCAAGACCAAAACAGGCCUGCAACGUUUUUUUCUUCGUUCAAAAUGUUACCGUGCACCUUAGUGGUAUCCACCUGAACUACACCGAACCCAAGCACCCCCAUUCUCACGUAAGUAACUCACAGAGUGGUUGUACGGGUGCUACAUAUAUAUAUAUAUAUAUAUAUAUAUAUAUAUAUAUAUAUAUGGGUUGAGUGUUGAGAUUCUGUCACCAUUGUGACAUA